rnacentral:lncRNA from 1 species
AAGCUUUGUGGUUGUUUAAGAGAUAAUUCCCUCUAAUAUGAAAUCCCUGAUGUGUAGUGAUAGUAUGUGAAGAUAUGUGAAUGAUGUUUAUGCUAUUUAUUUAUAGACUUAUUAAAUGAGAAUACUAGAGAGCUUUCUAGAAGUCCUCUAGAAUGAUACUUGAUUUUACAGAGAGGAAAAAGGAGGUUUACUUCUCAUUAGGUUAGAAUAAGGUUACUAUAUAUUUUUCCUUGGUUAUAGUUACAAAAUAACAUGUAACUUUACCACAAAUAUUUGAGCCCAGCUAAAAUAUACCCAGGAAAUUAGCAUGCCAGGUUUUGGUUUGUUUUUGCAUUCAAACAAGCAUAGUCCUUCUGAUCACUCCCUUUAGAAUGGAUCUGCCUGGCUCAGGGUCAUUGCUCAUGCUCAGAUCAUUUCUGGAAUUGCCUCCCAAGUCCAACUAUGCGAAUGUCACUUGCAGUGCUUUGACUAUGCCUCGUAUUCCUCAAAGUGUCCUUAUCCUGCUAAGUAAUGUCUCUUCUUCCCCAAAUUUACUCUAAGUGAUUUUAAAAUGUUUUCACCAAUCAAACGUACCUCACACUACAAAGCUUUGCCUUGAAUUUAGAUUUUGAAACAAAAGUAUGAAGGCUGGAAAUGUAGUCAUCAAGGGGGAAGUUUUAAAUGUAUCUGUCUGUUCUUUCAUCAGCUACUCACUCCCUCAUGGGGAUCACUGAAUAGUUAUUUAAAACCACAUGUCCAAUGUUGUACCAUUCCUGGGUCUUCACAAUUACAGACAUCAUCAUAAUGAGAUGAUUGGGUAGAUGAUUCCUUUGAAGGGUAAAAUAUUCAACCAGACAUAUAAAUUCUGAAGAGACAUUUGAAAACUAUAAUGCUCAUGUCUCUAUUUUGUGUCUUCUGGGCUGGGUAUUCUCAUUUGGGAGGAAAGAGGGCCCAAACAAUUUUUCAAUAUUAAUCUGAAAGUAAUGUUUUAGAAAUUAUGAUCUAGACAGUCUAAUGAAUGUGAUGGGGCAAUGUAGCAUGAAUUGUCUGAAAGUACGAUUUAAAAUUACUUAGAUUAACUAAUGAAGUCAAUAUUUGAACACCAAUCAGACUUUUGUAGAUAGGUAAAAAGAAAGCAUUUUAGGAGAAACCGAUCUUUAUUUCAAAACUAAAUUUGUCUUAUAAACAAUAGUGGUAAGGUAUACCUUCACUUAUUUUCCCUAUGGUUUACCUACUUAAACACUGUAGAUUGACUCAAAAGGCAUCUGGAGAGUUUUUUGGUGACUCCAUUUCCCACUUGGCAUUUCUAUGGGUAUUAACUGCUAAAGAAUAAACUGAUCUGGAUUUUCAAGGGUGGUGAACAUGUCUCCUGAUGGGAGGGAACACCCUAUUAUGUUCAAGGUUCAAAAUAGUUGAUCUCAGAACAAAAACAAGAACAAGAACAAGAACAACACACACACACACACACACACACACACACACACACACACACUCCCAUGGUAUUAUUUAAAAUUUAUUUCUCAUGACUCAGAACAAUACAAGGGUUUAUUUCCCAUCACCAUUCUCUCCAGUGAAGCUUUUUUCAAAGUCUACAUAGGAGUUUCUCCUUUCUCACUGAUAACUAUGCCACAGUGGCUACUACAUCACUAGUAAUUUACAUGCCCAGCCCUGCAUGGAAAUAAAUCACAGAAACAUAAUUUCCCAGUAGACUUAGUCUCUUCCAGCCUGUGUACUUCUAGUGUUUGCAAUCUGUAAAAAACCAACUAGGUCCCUGCAUUAUCCAACCAUAGUGAUUUACCUGUACGUAAAGGAAACUUACUAGAUAACUAAUCUGGUCAGUUCAUGUAAAGUCACAGAUCUUGUUUAUGUCUCUGUCUAGAAAUAGCUUCAGGAGCCAAAUUACAUGGAGGAACUUCUGAAAAGGGGCACUGGAUGUGGAAAGUGGUUGGUUGGGGUGGUGAGAGCACUGUUUCUGAGAAGGGUUUGUUUAUUACGUCUGACUGUCUGUGCUUUACUGUGCUGUGCCUUGCCUGCUCUGAUUUCAAGGAUUCUGUGAGUCCUUCAGAAGCAUAGAGUAAUUCCUUUUCCAGGUCUAUUUUUUUUUUUGAUGAACAUUCUGUAAAAAACUGUCAGCAUUCAAGAUUAUAUUUAAUAAUAAAUUAAGAAUUAUACUUGGACAAA